rnacentral:lncRNA from 1 species
AUUUUCAUCAGCUUUCUCUUAUCUCGCUCUGCCUUGCCAGCAGAGAGAAAGCUUGAUGAUCACAGGGUUUCAAACAUAUGAGGCCCAGUGAACAGAUCUAUUCCUACCUUAAACCAUUGAACACUGUACAUUGAACAAGAUCUCAAAAAGGAUGGUGCAAGAGUGGGAGUAUGGUAAUAUCCCCAAACCUCAGUCUCAGUUUAUCCAGAUAAGGAGAAGCUAAAUACCAAGACACAACCUCAGGAUGUCUGAUGAAUAAUAAAUCUGUCAUUUAGCAGCUGUUAUUCCAAUAAACCAGCUCCUGACCUCAGCCUUCCUAAUUAACCACCCCUUUGCCUGACUGGGAAAGCUCCUAGUAAAGAAGUACCUAAUGCCUGAAGUCCAACAAGAUCCCUUUAAUUAUAUGGAGCUAGAAGGUUGUUUCUCCUGGACCUGCAAAUGUCCCAAACAAUUAUCCAAGCCUCUGGGAAUGAGCUACACACUUUAGAUUGUGUGAAAUUAUUCUGCUUCAGUAUGAAGACCUCUAUGUUAACAAUCUCUGUGGAAUUAUCUCUUUACUAUCUGAAUGACCUCAGAAGUUGAGCAUUUGCAGCAGCAUUCAUUCCAGCUGUGAGGAAUCAAGAAAAAAAAAAGGAAAGAAAGAAAACCCUCUGGGACAAAGAUUUCAGCCUCAGGAUCUGCUUCUGAGUUUUCUAGAUGGAAAUCCAAGGCUGAGACAUGGUUGGGAAAAGCUGUUUUAGCUUUGAAGGCACUUCUCACCACAUCCGCAGGGAGAGGAGAUAAAAACCCUUGUCAAGAAACAGUGGAUUCCAGUUUCUCCUUGGUCCCUGGGAUUCUUCUUCCUGCUGCCUCUCUGGGAUGGUAAGACGGUGGAAGACAGUCUAAGCAACGCCAGACUCUUCCAAAACAGGUCCUGUAUAGAUACAAACCGUCGUUGUUAUUGUGCAGAUCUACAGAUGGCCCUAAACCCUAUGCCCUUGGGCAAGGACUCUGGAAGCACUGGUGCCAAAACAAACAGUUUAUCAAAAUAUUUUUCCGUUGAGAAAUCAAGCAGCCAAUCUUCAGGACUCUUGGCUGGCAAGGCAAUGAUCUUGGCUAAAGCCUUCUAGUGCUUCUGCUGAAGCAAAAGCCCAUGGGUGUACUAAUAAACAUGAUGAAAC